UUUGGUUCUAGUUGGGCAGUUCCUGUCGAAUCACAGGAGGAGGAGGAGUGUAAUCAUUGCGCAGUGUGUUUCGGCUUCUUGAUUAACAGUUGCAUUGGGCCUCUGAUGUAUGGGAAAAAAAGCUAACCCCAGCUUGAACACUAGAGAAAACUGCUGCAAUUAUGUAAGCUUUACCCUAAUUGCUUGGUUGAAUGAGAGCUGGAAGCGAGGGUGACAGAGUGGUGCUGCUAACUUGGCAAUUUGCAAGGGUCACUGUGGUUAAUUGGUGUCUGCAGAGCAGAACCAUUUUUCUAUGGUGAUCAAUUUAAGAUAUUGUCAUUUGUUGAAAUGAACCAAUGCCCUUGACUUCUUGGAAGAGGUGGAGGGAAUUGAUCACGUUCUGACCGGAAAAAGAACAAAUUCUGGGGAGUCAUUACUGCUUCCCGUGAGCCAAGCAAUGACAUGUGUGAGAAUGUACAGUAAUCCAUUUCAGACUCUGGCUUUUGUGGAUUUAGACAAGGCUCCCCUGGAGGAAGGAAUGCCAGGGCAAGAAUCAACCAGAUUGAGAUCUUUGUGCCUGGCAGUCUGACAUCACUUGUAAACUCUGCCAAAAUUCCUUUGGAAGCAGAUGUUCCUAGAGGGGGAAUGGAACACACGCUAUUUGGAACAUAAAACUGAGUAAAACUGAUAUAAGACUGAUUUACACUUGACAAAUCUCCAGCCAAAAAUUUCUUUAUUGGCAGUUACUACCGAACUGAAUGAGUAAUCAACUAAGGGUCAGAAUACAAACUAGCGUCUCCGCCUCUCAGAACAAGCAUCACUUCCACGUGGAUGGCCUCCUCAGCCUCCCACUUCCAGUGCUUACUGGAGUCUAUUCCAAAUAGAUCUCCAUCUAUUGCAAAGCUCCCAUUAAAAAUUCUGGCUAUGGGGGCUGGCCCCGUGGCCGAGUGGUUAAGUUCGCGCGCUCCGCUGCAGGCGGCCCAGUGUUUCGUCGGUUUGAAUACUGGCCGCGGACAUGGCACUGCUCAUCAAGCCACACUGAGGCGGCGUCCCACAUGCCACCACUAGAAGGACCCACAACUAAGAAUGUACAACUAUAUACCGGGGGGCUUUGGGGAGAAAAAGGAAAAAAUAAAAUCUUUAAAAAAAAAAACAUCCUGGCUAUGACUGCUGAUAUUUAGAAGAAUAGCCUGAGGAAUGGUGUG
rnacentral:lncRNA from 1 species